CUGAGACGCGAGCCCAGGGUUGAAUUUUUUAGUUGACUUUUUAUUUCUCUUUAAAGAUCGUAACUUUAUUGUUCAGAAUAGUUUCUUUUAGUUUAUAUUUAUAGUAUGAAGUUGUUUUAGCUAGAUUCGAGCCGUCCGGAGUUGGAUAAUCGAGGGAAAGACUUACUAGUGGAUUGAGUUAGCAUGUUUUAAGGUUUAGUUGGCUUGGAGGCUUGAUCAAAAGGCAAUGUCGUGGUUGAUUGAUCGCUUGGGUUGCGGGGUGAGAUAACGGAGUGGGUCAUGAGCGAUGUUCAGUAGAUUUACGCGGAUCCAGUUAUGGACGAAGACUUGAUGUACAGCUGUACAACAUUCGAAGUCAUGAAGUCCUCUUUCCUCCUAUCUUUACUAUUUUUUUUCUGAGUUCAAAACAAUGUAUUUUAUUCAGACCCUGUUUUUAGCGCUCUAGACAUUCAUGUAGUCGUGACACCAGUUUUUGGGUUAAGUUUAGGCUCGUUAUUCAGUAUUGUUAUACUAUACUUCAGACUUAUAUUGUUUUCAUUGUAA